rnacentral:rRNA from 1 species
GACGAACGCUGGCGGCGUGCUUAACACAUGCAAGUCGAACGGAAAGGCCCUGCUUUUGUGGGGUGCUCGAGUGGCGAACGGGUGAGUAACACGUGAGUAACCUGCCCUUGACUUUGGGAUAACUUCAGGAAACUGGGGCUAAUACCGGAUAGGAGCUCCUGCUGCAUGGUGGGGGUUGGACAGUUUCGGCGGUUGGGGAUGGACUCGCGGCUUAUCAGCUUGUUGGUGGGGUAGUGGCUUACCAAGGCUUUGACGGGUAGCCGGCCUGAGAGGGUGACCGGCCACAUUGGGACUGAGAUACGGCCCAGACUCCUACGGGAGGCAGCAGUGGGGAAUAUUGCACAAUGGGCGGAAGCCUGAUGCAGCAACGCCGCGUGCGGGAUGACGGCCUUCGGGUUGUAAACCGCUUUCGCCUGUGACGAAGCGUGAGUGACGGUAAUGGGUAAAGAAGCACCGGCUAACUACAUG